rnacentral:rRNA from 1 species
UGGGGAAUUUUUCGCAAUGGGGGCAACCCUGACGAAGCAAUGCCGCGUGGAUGAAGAAGGCCUUCGGGUUGUAAAGUCCUUUCGUGGAGGACGAAAAGGUGGGUUCUAAUACUAUCUGCUAUUGACGUGAAUCCAAGAAGAAGCACCGGCUAACUCCGUGCCAGCAGCCGCGGUAAUACGGGGGGUGCAAGCGUUAAUCGGAAUCACUGGGCGUAAAGGGUGUGUAGACGGUACGUUAGGUCUGUCGUGAAAUCCCCGGGCUCAACCUGGGAAUGGCGGUAGAAACCGGCGCACUAGAGUAUGGGAGAGGGUGGUGGAAUUCCAGGUGUAGCGGUGAAAUGCGUAGAUAUCUGGGAGGAACAUCCAGUGGGCGAAGGCGGCCGCCUGGGCCCAUAACUGACGCUGGAGGCACGAAAGACGUGGGGGACAAACA